UACGUAGGUGGCGAGCGUUGUCCGGAUUUAUUGGGCGUAAAGGGCGCGCAGGUGGUGUGGUGGGUCCGUCGUGAAAUCUCCUGGCUCAACUGGGAGGGUGCGGCGGAGACUGCCAGACUGGAGGCACUCAGAGGCCGGUGGAAUUCCCGGUGUAGUGGUGAAAUGCGUAGAGAUCGGGAGGAACACCAGUGGCGAAGGCGGCCGGCUGGGGGUGACCUGACGCUGAGGCGCGAAAGCAUGGGGAGCAAACAGG
rnacentral:rRNA from 1 species